rnacentral:rRNA from 1 species
GAUGAACGCUGGCGGAAUGCUUUACACAUGCAAGUCGAGCGGCAGCGCGGGGCAACCUGGCGGCGAGCGGCGAACGGGUGAGUAAUACAUCGGAACGUGCCCAGACGUGGGGGAUAACUACUCGAAAGAGUGGCUAGUACCGCAUACGAUCUGAGGAUGAAAGCGGGGGAUCGCAAGACCUCGCGCGUCUGGAGCGGCCGAUGGCAGAUUAGGUAGUUGGUGAGGUAAAGGCUUACCAAGCCUGCGAUCUGUAGCUGGUCUGAGAGGAUGAUCAGCCAAACUGGGACUGGGACACGGCCCAGACUCCUACGGGAGGCAGCAGUGGGGAAUUUUGGACAAUGGGCGAAAGCCUGAUCCAGCCAUUCCGCGUGCAGGAUGGAGGCCCUCGGGUUGUAAACUGCUUUUGUACGGAACGAAAAAGCUCCGGCUAAUACCUGGAGUCCAUGACGGUACCGUAUGAAUAAGCACCGGCUAACUACGUGCCAGCCGCCGCCGUAA